GGUUCAGGACGAACGCUGGCGGCGUGCCUAAUACAUGCAAGUCGAACGGUCUUUCUAUGGAAGUUUGCUUCCACUGAGAAGAUAGUGGCGAACGGGUGAGUAACACGUGGGUAACCUGCCCAUAAGAGGGGGAUAACAUCCGGAAACGGGUGCUAAUACCGCAUAGUUUUCUUGAUCGCAUGAUCGGGAAAGGAAAGACGGCCUUUGUGCUGUCGCUUAUGGAUGGACCCGCGGCGUAUUAGUUAGUUGGUGAGGUAAUGGCUCACCAAGACGAUGAUACGUAGCCGACCUGAGAGGGUGAUCGGCCACAUUGGGACUGAGACACGGCCCAAACUCCUACGGGAGGCAGCAGUAGGGAAUCUUCCGCAAUGGACGAAAGUCUGACGGAGCAACGCCGCGUGAGUGAAGAAAGGUUUUCGGAUCGUAAAACUCUGUUGUCAGAGAAGAACAAGUUGGAGAGUAACUGCUCCAGCCUUGACGGUAUCUGACCAGAAAGCCACGGCUAACUACGUGCCAGCCGCUGC
rnacentral:rRNA from 1 species